GGUGGCACCAAGCAUGAGGCAACAACUGCAUUACUUUCAAGGAAGUUACAAAAUCUAUGGGUCUUCAUAAUCGUGACUUUCUUGCAAGUUGUGCAGUUGCUGUCUCAAGCUUGCUGACUCC
rnacentral:pre_miRNA from 1 species